rnacentral:lncRNA from 1 species
CCUCAGUGAUCUGUGGGCUUUGGCCAACAAAACAUCGUGUUGUGACUUGUCUUCCACAUUGUGUUGUGCAGUGACAGUAAUUUUCUUGAGCUGCAACUGUUUUUCAAAGCAUGGUGGCUUUCAAACUGGGCCACCAGAUUUCAUCAUCGCUAACCCAGCAAUUAAAUCCACAGGCCUGGAGGCAACUGAAAUCAACAGGCAGCUCCAAGGGUUCCAAAAGUUCCAGCUUUGGGAACGCACCAGAAGGGAUGGUGAAAGCCAGGAAGAAAUGCUGAACAAAACCCAGGGGAUGACCAUGUUGAUGACAAUGGUGAAGCCCGUCAUGGAGCCACCUUCACUUAUUGCAGCGGCUCCCCGGGCGCAGCAGAUAACAGGUCCCUCUCAGCGCAAGCGGCGAGAAGCCCACAGUCAAUUACCAGCCCCCUGCCUGCAGCCGAUGGAUGAAGGCUCCUGCCAGCACUAUGCCCUGCUCUGGUAUUACCACCUGGAGGCAAACACCUGCCGGCCCUUCAUCUUUGGGGGAUGCCGAGGGAACAGCAACCGCUUCGAAACCAAGUGGAAGUGUGAGCAGAAGUGCAAAACCUCAGCAGCCAGAGGGAGGUGAUCAGCUGCGAUCAUCGUGUUUAAAUACAAAAGAAGUGGAGCUGCGAGAAGUGUCUCCAGGGCAUCUCGGAGACUGGACAAGCAAGAAAAGCCAUUUAAUGUGAAGAGGCAAAGGAAGUUUGAAAAAAAGAUGUUGGAAAACGGUAAUUAUGAGCAGGAAAUGAAGUGGUAUGAGGAGAGGGAAACACCUGAUUUCUUAGGAACGCAGAGUUGUCCAGAGGCUCAUGACUGCACCACUCACCCCGUAGGACUACUGUGCAAAGCUGGGAGACACAUACUCCUGAGUUUAUUUUUGUAAAAUAAAAGUGUGUUAAUGCUGCUCUGCGUAAUUCUA